CCUACGGGAGGCUGCAGUAGGGAAUCUUCCACAAUGGGCGAAAGCCUGAUGGAGCAACGCCGCGUGGGUGAAGAAGGUCUUCGGAUCGUAAAACCCUGUUGUUAGAGAAGAAAGUGCGUGAGAGUAACUGUUCACGCUUCGACGGUAUCUAACCAGAAACCCACGGCUAACUACGUGCCAGCAGCCGCGGUAAUACGUAGGUGGCAAGCGUUAUCCGGAUUUAUUGGGCGUAAAGGGAACGCAGGCGGUCUGUUAAGUCUGAUGUGAAAGCCUUGGGCUUAACCGGAGUAGUGCAUUGGAGACUGGGAGACUUGAGUGCAGAAGAGGGGGGUGGAACUCCAUGUGUAGCGGUGAAAUGCGUAGAUAUAUGGAAGAACACCGGUGGCGAAAGCGGCUCUCUGGUCUGUGACUGACGCUGAGGUUCGAAAGCGUGGGUAGCAAACAGGAUUAGAUACCCGAGUAGUC
rnacentral:rRNA from 1 species